UACGAAGGGGGCGAGCGUUGUUCGGAAUCAUUGGGCGUAAAGGGCGCGUAGGCGGGUUUGUAAGUCGAUUGUGAAAUCCCUGGGCUUAACCUGGGAAUUGCAGUCGAAACUGCAAGUCUUGAGUUCUCGAGAGGAUGGUGGAAUUCCUGGAGUAGUAGUGAAAUACGUAGAUAUCAGGAGGAACACCGGAGGCGAAGGCGGCCAUCUGGCGAGACACUGACGCUAAGGCGCGAAAGCGUGGGUAGCAAACAGG
rnacentral:rRNA from 1 species